GUGGCCCCUGUCUCAGCUGGCGUUCCGGGAGGUUGUUUACGUCCAGGAGGAAAGCAAAAGCCUGGCCCUGAGCAUCAGGGUGGCUCUGGACGCCAGGGCUGUACUGUGUUCUUUCUCGACACGAAUGAGUUUCUGGACAGUUUUCCCGGCUAGUGCAGACCCACACUGACUGAAAACCGAAAUCUUUGCACAUGAGAAAAAUAACUCCCAUGGCAAGGCGUGGCGGCUCACACCUGUAAUCUCAGUGCUUUGGGAG
rnacentral:lncRNA from 1 species